rnacentral:rRNA from 1 species
AUUGAACGCUGGCGGAAUGCUUUACACAUGCAAGUCGAACGGCAGCACGGGGGCAGCCCUGGUGGCGAGUGGCGAACGGGUGAGUAAUACAUCGGAACGUGCCCGGUCGUGGGGGAUAACGUAGCGAAAGUUACGCUAAUACCGCAUACGAUCUGAGGAUGAAAGCGGGGGACCUUCGGGCCUCGCGCGAUCGGAGCGGCCGAUGUCAGAUUAGGUAGUUGGUGGGGUAAAGGCCUACCAAGCCGACGAUCUGUAGCUGGUCUGAGAGGACGACCAGCCACACUGGGACUGAGACACGGCCCAGACUCCUACGGGAGGCAGCAGUGGGGAAUUUUGGACAAUGGGCGCAAGCCUGAUCCAGCCAUUCCGCGUGCAGGACGAAGGCCUUCGGGUUGUAAACUGCUUUUGCACGGAACGAAAAGGCUCUGGCUAAUACCUGGGGCUCAUGACGGUACCGUAAGAAUAAGCACCGGCUAACUACGUG